GCUUUCGUAGCGCAGUAGGCAGCGCGUCAGUCUCAUAAUCUGAAGGUCGUGAGUU
rnacentral:tRNA from 1 species